rnacentral:sRNA from 1 species
GAGAGAUUUACAAAUAGUGUUUUGGCAUCAUGGAACGUGGAGGUUGUACUUUAACGGCAACUUACGCCCACCCUAGACCAACACCAACCAACUUUCUACCAGCCAUCAGUACCAUGGCCUCAAGCUACAGGGACCGCUUUCCCCACUCCAAUUUGACCCAUAGCCUGAGCCUUCCUUGGAGACCCAGCACAUACUACAAAGUCGCCUCCAAUUCCCCAAGCGUGGCCCCGUACUGCACCAGAUCACAGAGGGUGUCCGAGAAUACCAUGCUUCCCUUUGUUUCCAACAGAACCACUUUCUUCACAAGAUACACACCGGAUGACUGGUACAGGUCCAAUUUAACCAACUAUCAAGAGUCCAACACUUCCCGACAUAAUUCGGAGAAACUAAGAGUGGAUACAUCUCGCCUGAUUCAAGACAAAUAUCAACAAACAAGAAAAACUCACGCAGACACAACCCAAAAUCUGGGAGAACGUGUCAAUGACAUAGGGUUUUGGAAAUCUGAAAUCAUUCAUGAGUUGGAUGAAAUGAUUGGAGAGACAAAUGCACUUACUGAUGUGAAGAAAAGACUGGAGCGGGCUUUGAUGGAGACUGAAGCCCCUCUUCAGGUAGCCCGAGAAUGUCUAUUUCAUCGAGAAAAGAGAAUGGGAAUCGACCUAGUUCACGAUGAAGUUGAAGCACAACUGCUGACGGUAAAUAUGGGGGAAAUGCAUCAGUCACAGGCAGCUUAGUUGUAAAUGUGUGUUGAAUAUGUAGAAGCAAAAAAGGAUGUUACAUAAAAUGACUUAUAAGUAAAGCAUUAUCGUAUCAGAUGCUGAUAGCAUUUAGCAAAGACAUGUUUUUCUUGGUUAUAACACAUAUUCAAUGAGAAUAUGAAAAUGCAAACAAGAGUAAAUAAACAUAAAAAUCACUUGAA